UACGGGGGGGGCAAGCGUUGUUCGGAAUUACUGGGCGUAAAGGGCUCGUAGGCGGCCAACUAAGUCGGAUGUGAAAUCCCCAGGCUUAACCUGGGAACUGCAUCCGAUACUGGAUGGCUUGAAUCCGGGAGAGGGAUGCAGAAUUCCAGGUGUAGCGGUGAAAUGCGUAGAUAUCUGGAGGAAUACCGGUGGCGAAGGCGGCAUCCUGGACUGUCCCUGACGCUGAGGCUCGAAAGCGUGGGUAGCAAACAGG
rnacentral:rRNA from 1 species